GGGUUGUGAGGUUAAGCGACUAAGCGUACACGGUGGAUGCCCUGGCAGUCAGAGGCGAUGAAGGGCGUGCUAAUCUGCGAUAAGCGCCGGUAAGGUGAUAUGAACCGUUAUAACCGGCGAUACCCGAAUGGGGAAACCCAGUGUGAUUCGUCACACUAUCAUUAACUGAAUCCAUAGGUUAAUGAGGCGAACCGGGGGAACUGAAACAUCUAAGUACCCCGAGGAAAAGAAAUCAACCGAGAUUCCCCCAGUGGCGGCGAGCGAACGGGGAGGAGCCCAGAGCCUGAAUCAGCAUGUGUGUUAGUGGAAGCGUCUGGAAAGGCGCGCGAUACAGGGUGACAGCCCCGUACACAAAAGCGCAUGUGCUGUGAGCUCGAUGAGUAGGGCGGGACACGUGGUAUCCUGUCUGAAUAUGGGGGGACCAUCCUCCAAGGCUAAAUACUCCUGACUGACCGAUAGUGAACCAGUACCGUGAGGGAAAGGCGAAAAGAACCCCGGCGAGGGGAGUGAAAAAGAACCUGAAACCGUGUACGUACAAGCAGUGGGAGCCCCACCACUAAGCCAGUGGUGAACUCCACAUCCGCAUCCUUUGCUGAGGAUACGGUUAACGGAGCGAAAGCGACGUUCAACCGCAAAACAAGCAGAGGGGGCUUAGUGGUGGGGUGACUGCGUACCUUUUGUAUAAUGGGUCAGCGACUUAUAUUCUGUAGCAAGGUUAACCGAAUAGGGGAGCCGGAGGGAAACCGAGUCUUAAU
rnacentral:rRNA from 1 species